GUGUCCAUUUUUUAAUGGAUAGGACAGAGGUUUUCUAAACCUUUGGUAUAGGUUCGAAUCCUAUUUGGCGCA
rfam:Gossypium raimondii chromosome 8, whole genome shotgun sequence.